rnacentral:rRNA from 1 species
GGGUUGUGAGGUUAAGCGACUAAGCGUACACGGUGGAUGCCCUGGCAGUCAGAGGCGAUGAAGGGCGUGCUAAUCUGCGAUAAGCGCCGGUAAGGUGAUAUGAACCGUUAUAACCGGCGAUACCCGAAUGGGGAAACCCAGUGUGACUCGUCACACUAUCAUUAACUGAAUCCAUAGGUUAAUGAGGCGAACCGGGGGAACUGAAACAUCUAAGUACCCCGAGGAAAAGAAAUCAACCGAGAUUCCCCCAGUAGCGGCGAGCGAACGGGGAGGAGCCCAGAGCCUGAAUCAGCAUGUGUGUUAGUGGAAGCGUCUGGAAAGGCGCGCGAUACAGGGUGACAGCCCCGUACACAAAAGCGCAUGUGCUGUGAGCUCGAUGAGUAGGGCGGGACACGUGGUAUCCUGUCUGAAUAUGGGGGGACCAUCCUCCAAGGCUAAAUACUCCUGACUGACCGAUAGUGAACCAGUACCGUGAGGGAAAGGCGAAAAGAACCCCGGCGAGGGGAGUGAAAAAGAACCUGAAACCGUGUACGUACAAGCAGUGGGAGCACCCUUUUGGGUGUGACUGCGUACCUUUUGUAUAAUGGGUCAGCGACUUAUAUUCUGUAGCAAGGUUAACCGUAUAGGGGAGCCGGAGGGAAACCGAGUCUUAAUUGGGCGUUAAGUUGCAGGGUAUAGACCCGAAACCCGGUGAUCUAGCCAUGGGCAGGUUGAAGGUUGGGUAACACUAACUGGAGGACCGAACCGACUAAUGUUGAAAAAUUAGCGGAUGACCUGUGGCUGGGGGUGAAAGGCCAAUCAAACCGGGAGAUAGCUGGUUCUCCCCGAAAGCUAUUUAGGUAGCGCCUCGUGAAUUCAUCUCCGGGGGUAGAGCACUGUUUCGGCUAGGGGGCCAUCCCGGCUUACCAACCCGAUGCAAACUGCGAAUACCGGAGAAUGUUAUCACGGGAGACACACGGCGGGUGCUAACGUCCGUCGUGAAGAGGGAAACAACCCAGACCGCCAGCUAAGGUCCCAAAGUCAUGGUUAAGUGGGAAACGAUGUGGGAAGGCCCAGACAGCCAGGAUGUUGGCUUAGAAGCAGCCAUCAUUUAAAGAAAGCGUAAUAGCUCACUGGUCGAGUCGGCCUGCGCGGAAGAUGUAACGGGGCUAAACCAUGCACCGAAGCUGCGGCAGCGACGUUUAUGCGUUGUUGGGUAGGGGAGCGUUCUGUAAGCCUGCGAAGGUGGCCUGUGAGGGUUGCUGGAGGUAUCAGAAGUGCGAAUGCUGACAUAAGUAACGAUAAAGCGGGUGAAAAGCCCGCUCGCCGGAAGACCAAGGGUUCCUGUCCAACGUUAAUCGGGGCAGGGUGAGUCGACCCCUAAGGCGAGGCCGAAAGGCGUAGUCGAUGGGAAACAGGUUAAUAUUCCUGUACUUGGUGUUACUGCGAAGGGGGGACGGAGAAGGCUAUGUUGGCCGGGCGACGGUUGUCCCGGUUUAAGCGUGUAGGUGUGUGUUCCAGGUAAAUCCGGUUCACUUUAACACUGAGGCGUGACGACGAGGCACUACGGUGCUGAAGCAACAAAUGCCCUGCUUCCAGGAAAAGCCUCUAAGCAUCAGGUAACAUCAAAUCGUACCCCAAACCGACACAGGUGGUCAGGUAGAGAAUACCAAGGCGCUUGAGAGAACUCGGGUGAAGGAACUAGGCAAAAUGGUGCCGUAACUUCGGGAGAAGGCACGCUGACACGUAGGUGAAGUGAUUUACUCAUGGAGCUGAAGUCAGUCGAAGAUACCAGCUGGCUGCAACUGUUUAUUAAAAACACAGCACUGUGCAAACACGAAAGUGGACGUAUACGGUGUGACGCCUGCCCGGUGCCGGAAGGUUAAUUGAUGGGGUCAGCGCAAGCGAAGCUCCUGAUCGAAGCCCCGGUAAACGGCGGCCGUAACUAUAACGGUCCUAAGGUAGCGAAAUUCCUUGUCGGGUAAGUUCCGACCUGCACGAAUGGCGUAAUGAUGGCCAGGCUGUCUCCACCCGAGACUCAGUGAAAUUGAACUCGCUGUGAAGAUGCAGUGUACCCGCGGCAAGACGGAAAGACCCCGUGAACCUUUACUAUAGCUUGACACUGAACAUUGAGCCUUGAUGUGUAGGAUAGGUGGGAGGCUUUGAAGCGUGGACGCCAGUCUGCGUGGAGCCGACCUUGAAAUACCACCCUUUAAUGUUUGAUGUUCUAACGUGGACCCGUGAUCCGGGUUGCGGACAGUGUCUGGUGGGUAGUUUGACUGGGGCGGUCUCCUCCUAAAGAGUAACGGAGGAGCACGAAGGUUGGCUAAUCCUGGUCGGACAUCAGGAGGUUAGUGCAAUGGCAUAAGCCAGCUUGACUGCGAGCGUGACGGCGCGAGCAGGUGCGAAAGCAGGUCAUAGUGAUCCGGUGGUUCUGAAUGGAAGGGCCAUCGCUCAACGGAUAAAAGGUACUCCGGGGAUAACAGGCUGAUACCGCCCAAGAGUUCAUAUCGACGGCGGUGUUUGGCACCUCGAUGUCGGCUCAUCACAUCCUGGGGCUGAAGUAGGUCCCAAGGGUAUGGCUGUUCGCCAUUUAAAGUGGUACGCGAGCUGGGUUUAGAACGUCGUGAGACAGUUCGGUCCCUAUCUGCCGUGGGCGCUGGAGAACUGAGGGGGGCUGCUCCUAGUACGAGAGGACCGGAGUGGACGCAUCACUGGUGUUCGGGUUGUCAUGCCAAUGGCACUGCCCGGUAGCUAAAUGCGGAAGAGAUAAGUGCUGAAAGCAUCUAAGCACGAAACUUGCCCCGAGAUGAGUUCUCCCUGAGACUUAGAGUCUCCUGAAGGAACGUUGAAGACGACGACGUUGAUAGGCCGGGUGUGUAAGCGCAGCGAUGCGUUGAGCUAACCGGUACUAAUGAACCGUGAGGCUUAACCUUACAACGCCGAAG